rnacentral:rRNA from 1 species
CGCGUAGGUGGUUGUGUAAGUCGGAUGUGAAAUCCCCAGGCUCAACUUGGGAACCGCAUCCGAUACUGCAUGACUCGAGUACAGCAGAGGGAAACGGAAUUCCUGGCGUAGAGGUGAAAUUCGUAGAUAUCAGGAGGAACACCGGUGGCGAAGGCGGUUUCCUGGGCUGAUACUGACACUGAGGCGCGAAAGCGUGGGUAGCAAACAGGAUUAGAUACCCUGGUAGUCCACGCUGUAAACGGUGAGUGCUGGGUGUGGGAGGUGUAAUGCCUUCUGUGCCGAAGCUAACGCGUUAAGCACUCCGCCUGGGGAGUACGGCCGCAAGGUUGAA